GACGAACGCUGGCGGCGUGCUUAACACAUGCAAGUCGAACGGAAAGGCCCUGCUUUUGUGGGGUGCUCGAGUGGCGAACGGGUGAGUAACACGUGAGUAACCUGCCCUUGACUUUGGGAUAACUUCAGGAAACUGGGGCUAAUACCGGAUAGGAGCUCCUGCUGCAUGGUGGGGGUUGGAAAGUUUCGGCGGUUGGGGAUGGACUCGCGGCUUAUCAGCUUGUUGGUGGGGUAGUGGCUUACCAAGGCUUUGACGGGUAGCCGGCCUGAGAGGGUGACCGGCCACAUUGGGACUGAGAUACGGCCCAGACUCCUACGGGAGGCAGCAGUGGGGAAUAUUGCACAAUGGGCGGAAGCCUGAUGCAGCAACGCCGCGUGCGGGAUGACGGCCUUCGGGUUGUAAACCGCUUUCGCCUGUGACGAAGCGUGAGUGACGGUAAUGGGUAAAGAAGCACCGGCUAACUACGUGCCAGCAGCCGCGGUGAUACGUAGGGUGCGAGCGUUGUCCGGAUUUAUUGGGCGUAAAGGGCUCGUAGGUGGUUGAUCGCGUCGGAAGUGUAAUCUUGGGGCUUAACCCUGAGCGUGCUUUCGAUACGGGUUGACUUGAGGAAGGUAGGGGAGAAUGGAAUUCCUGGUGGAGCGGUGGAAUGCGCAGAUAUCAGGAGGAACACCAGUGGCGAAGGCGGUUCUCUGGGCCUUUCCUGACGCUGAGGAGCGAAAGCGUGGGGAGCGAACAGGCUUAGAUACCCUGGUAGUCCACGCUGUAAACGGUGGGUACUAGGUGUGGGGUCCAUUCCACGGGUUCCGUGCCGUAGCUAACGCUUUAAGUACCCCGCCUGGGGAGUACGGCCGCAAGGCUAAAACUCAAAGGAAUUGACGGGGCCCCGCACAAGCGGCGGAGCAUGCGGAUUAAUUCGAUGCAACGCGUAGAACCUUACCUGGGUUUGACAUGGAUCGGAAGUGCUCAGAGAUGGGUGUGCCUCUUUUGGGGUCGGUUCACAGGUGGUGCAUGGCUGUCGUCAGCUCGUGUCGUGAGAUGUUGGGUUAAGUCCCGCAACGAGCGCAACCCUUGUUCACUGUUGCCAGCACGUUAUGGUGGGGACUCAGUGGAGACCGCCGGGGUCAACUCGGAGGAAGGUGGGGAUGACGUCAAGUCAUCAUGCCCCUUAUGUCCAGGGCUUCACGCAUGCUACAAUGGCUGGUACAGAGAGUGGCGAGCCUGUGAGGGUGAGCGAAUCUCGGAAAGCCGGUCUCAGUUCGGAUUGGGGUCUGCAACUCGACCUCAUGAAGUCGGAGUCGCUAGUAAUCGCAGAUCAGCAACGCUGCGGUGAAAAAGUUCCCGGGGCU
rnacentral:rRNA from 1 species